GGCCUGGUGGUCUAGCGGUAUGAUACGCGCUUCGGAAUCCGAUCUUUCCGGGAGCUUCAGCUCAUCAGAAUGUGCGUGGUCCCGGGUUCAAUCCCCGGCCAGGCCC